rnacentral:lncRNA from 12 species
CCCAGAAUCCUCAACUUUGUUUUUUGAGGUGUUUCCCCCUUGUAUAUAUAUUCAGAGUUACCCGAUAUUCAAAUUAAAUGGUUAUGAAUAUGGCCUGAAACUAAUGUGCAAGGGGUGACCAUUGAGAAAUGCUGGCCUACUGGAUCAAGGCUCUGCAUAGUAUAUGGCGAUUCGCUGUUCCAUCCACUACUUAAAAUGACAGAUAAAAUUGGCAUGUCCGUGCUGCUGUCAUGACACAGACUCUUUCUUCUGAUUUCUUUCUGAUUCCUGCCAUCUCCACGGUUUCUGCCUUUUCGCCUCCUCCUAGUACAGAUGAGUAAGAUCUGGCCUCUGACCCGAGAGCUUGCAGGGUCCAGUAAAGGAGAUGAUGUGCGGAUCUGAUUCACUGCGGAGGGAAUCGCACAGUGAGCAAGGGGACACCUUCACUUACGCAGUGGCUGACUUCAGGAAGCAGCCAAUUUCGUACACAUACGAUGCAUUGCAAAGAAAGGAGAAUAUGAAUUUCACUUCAGGAUGCAGCUUCCUUGGUCCCUGUUUUUUGCACAUGAUCAGUUGAUCUCCUUUGAUGUAUCUUGGGUUACAUGCCACUUUC